ensembl:lncRNA
GUGGAGACUACAUGUGUAAGAGUCGACGCAGAGAUGACUCAUAUUCUUCAACAGAGUGGAGUGAAGCCUUCACAUUGUCAGCAUCAAAUAAACCCAGGGCCACACUGACAGCAGGAACAACAAUCAUACCAGUAGGGGGCAGUGUGACACUGACCUGCUCUGUGCAGAGCUCUGAUGGAUGGAAAUAUGAGUGGUUCAGACGAACCCAAACAACCUCUGAAGGUCAAAUCAGAGAUCAACAAAACAGAGAUAUCAGAGUAUCUGAAGGAGGAAUCUACAGCUGCAGAGGAACAAGAGGAAACCCAGUUUACUACACUGAUAGAAGUGAUGAUGUCACCAUUGAGAAAACCA